AACGAAAUAUUUUAACUUAAGAAUAUUGGGUUUGCGUCUCAAAGGUGGAUGUUUUAUCUUUUCGUUA
rnacentral:tRNA from 1 species